UAAUGUUCAAUAUCGAUAUCAAAAUCAAAUUCUAAAAGUCAAAACAAUCACCAAAUUAUCAAAAUCAAGUGAAAUUCUAAGAUUAAAAACAAUAUCAAAAUAAAUUCUAAAACAAAUUAUCAAAGUUAAAUUCUAAAACUAUUAAGAAAGAUUAAAUUCUAAAAUAUUAACAAAUAAAUUUCUACGCAAUUAAUCAAUUAAUUCUAAAACAAUAUUAUCAAUUAAAAUUCUAAAACAAUUUUAAAGCACAUUAAGAUUCUAAUUAAUAUUCAAAAAUUAAUCUAACUGUUAUUCUACAUAACUAAAUUUAUCCUAAUUAUUAUCUAGUAGUUAUUCCUAAGAUUAAGACCUAAUAUUAUCCUAAUUACCUAACUAACUUGAUUAUCUAAACUGAAUUAAUCUAAAAUCCACGAAAGAAUGAAACGGAAGGACAAGUCAUGGGCCUGAAUAUUAAGCUCACGCUAGGGGGGUAAGUUCUAGAGAGGGAGUAUGGUAAUGGAUACUGAAGGAUCAGGCCUAUGUGAAAGCCCAAGGUAAAAUAAACAAAGAAGGAUCCAAAUGCCCACUUCCUUCGUCUUCUUCAUGAGUGUCCACGAGAAGAUGGAAUAGGUCACGGCGAUGACCAAGCCGCGCCGGCUCUGCCACCGGUAAUGGAGAUCUCAAAGGCGACGCCCUCGCUCCAACUACUAAUCCAACCGAAACACCACGCCAACGUGAUUCCAACACACACUGCUCUGAAUGUCGGACGAAAACGGAUCGGGACUCGAACCCAAUCCACAACCACGACUCGACGACUCGCACCGCUGCAAUAGAGUUAAUCGACGCGACAUGAAGAAGUAACCUACCGGCGGAUGCGACGAGAUCGGCGACGGACUUCAAAUUGAAACUCUAGUUCCUCCGUCAACAAAUCACGGCUAGGAACUGCUCACUUCCACCUUGAGUUACGCUUCCUCCUUCCUUCUGUUUUGUGCUUGUAAUUCUUGAAUUCGGUUGGAAUGUGUUGCAGGACUUUCUUCUGGUUUAUAUGCACUGUAGCGAGGUUGCGAGAGUUUCCGAAAAUUGCCGUGAAUAAUUGGAGUGAAUGAAUGGAUGACGGGAUGAAGGAUUAACAGGUUAAGGAAAAGUGAGAGGGAAAUUGAGAGUGAUGUUCGUGGAAGGAAAAAAAAGAUUCUGAAAAGAAAAAAUGGAGAGAGGGAAACCUUUAAUUGUUAGCUCAUGCUCUUAUAUAGAGCUCUGUUACGUAUUGGAUGUGAUUGGAAUUUGGAUUCUGUGUUUUCAAUUCUUUUCGUCGUUCACGUCGUUUUGCAAUUUCUAUUUUUGCUUUUGUAGCUAGGAAGGUGCGUUUCAAAGCUGCGUUUGGAAUGCUAUUGCCGUUUACGUGCGUUUCAAUUUAUAAUUGGAUGCGUCGCAUUUUGUGUUGGUUAAGUUGAGCUUCGCUGCAUAUUGCCUGCAUUUUGGCUUACGACGCGUUUCACAUUUGCUGCUCAACGCUGCGUAUGACUUGUGCUUUUCAAUUUUCCUUGCCGUAUUGGUCUAUAGCGGUAGCAUUGAGUUUUGUUAUAACUUGUCGUUUGAGUUCUAUUUUGGAAUUGGCUGCACGUCAUUUUGAGUUGCGUUUCAGCUGGUGUAAAGUUGUGCUUCCCAUUUUCAAUAGUUACGUUUCAGUUAGGGGUGUUCAAAACCAAACCAACCCAAUAGAAAACCGCAAAUCAAACCAAAUCGAAACCGCAAAAAACCGCAUUUGGUUCGGAUUCGUUUGGGUCAUUUUUUAAUAAAACCGCACGGUUUGGUUUGGUUUCCGGUUUGUAUUUUGCAAACCGAACUAAACCAAACCAAACCGCAUUAUGUUACAACCCAAAUUUUACUUAUCCCACAUCCAACCAAAACAUCAAACCUAGUAUGCCUUAACCUUACAAUUACAAAAACGAUUUUCUCUUACUCACGCUUAGGGUUUCAAUUUCAACCUUCUUAAAUCUCUC
rnacentral:lncRNA from 1 species